rnacentral:rRNA from 2 species
GUGCCUAAUACAUGCAAGUUGAGCGAUGAAGAUUGGUGCUUGCACCAAUUUGAAGAGCAGCGAACGGGUGAGUAACGCGUGGGGAAUCUGCCUUUGAGCGGGGGACAACAUUUGGAAACGAAUGCUAAUACCGCAUAAUAACUUUAAACAUAAGUUUUAAGUUUGAAAGAUGCAAUUGCAUCACUCAAAGAUGAUCCCGCGUUGUAUUAGCUAGUUGGUGAGGUAAAGGCUCACCAAGGCGAUGAUACAUAGCCGACCUGAGAGGGUGAUCGGCCACAUUGGGACUGAGACACGGCCCAA